GGCGAAGUCCGGACCAUCCGCCGCGUUAAUACGGAGGCGGCAAGCGUUGUCCUGAUUGUGUGGGCGUAAAGGGAGCGCAGUCGGGAAACUAAGCGGCUCUUAAAAGUGCGGGGCUCAACCCCGGGAUGGUGUCCGAACUGGUUUUCUUGAGUGCAGGAGAGGAAAGCGGAAUUCCCAGUGUAGCGGUGAAAUGCGUAGAUAUUGGGAAGAACACCAGUGGCGAAGGCGGCUUUCUGGACUGUAACUGACGCUGAGGCUCGAAAGCUAGGGUAGCGAACGGGAUUAGAUACCCCAGUAGUC
rnacentral:rRNA from 1 species